GUAAGGAAUAUUGGUCAAUGGAGGCAACUCUGAACCAGCCACGCCGCGUGGAGGAUGAAGGUCCUCUGGAUUGUAAACUUCUUUUAUAUGGGACGAAAAAAGGCUUCUCUAAGUCGUCUGACGGUACCAUAUGAAUAAGCACCGGCUAACUCCGUGCCAGCAGCCGCGGUAAUACGGAGGGUGCAAGCGUUAUCCGGAUUCACUGGGUUUAAAGGGUGCGUAGGUGGGUUGGUAAGUCAGUGGUGAAAUCCCCGAGCUUAACUUGGGAACUGCCAUUGAUACUAUCAGUCUUGAAUACCGUGGAGGUCGGCGGAAUAUGUCAUGUAGCGGUGAAAUGCUUAGAUAUGACAUAGAACACCAAUUGCGAAGGCAGCUGGCUACGCGGAUAUUGACACUGAGGCACGAAAGCGUGGGGAUCAAACAGGAUU
rnacentral:rRNA from 1 species